UACAGGGGGGGCAAGCGUUGUUCGGAAUUACUGGGCGUAAAGGGUCUGUAGGUGGCCAACUAAGUCAGCCGUGAAAUCCCUCAGCUUAACUGGGGAACUGCGUCUGAUACUGGAUGGCUCGAGUAUGGGAGAGGGCAGUGGAAUUCCCGGUGUAGCGGUGAAAUGCGUAGAUAUCGGGAGGAACAUCAGUGGCGAAGGCGACUACCUGGCCUGUUCUUGACGCUGAGGCGCGAAAGCUAGGGGAGCAAACGGG
rnacentral:rRNA from 1 species